GAUGAUCGCUGGCGGCGUGCCUAAUACAUGCAAGUCGAGCGAACAGACGAGGAGCUUGCUCCUCUGAUGUUAGCGGCGGACGGGUGAGUAACACGUGGAUAACCUACCUAUAAGACUGGGAUAACUUCGGGAAACCGGAGCUAAUACCGGAUAACAUGUUGAACCGCAUGGUUCAACAGUGAAAGACGGUCUUGCUGUCACUUAUAGAUGGAUCCGCGCCGCAUUAGCUAGUUGGUAAGGUAACGGCUUACCAAGGCAACGAUGCGUAGCCGACCUGAGAGGGUGAUCGGCCACACUGGAACUGAGACACGGUCCAGACUCCUACGGGAGGCAGCAGUAGGGAAUCUUCCGCAAUGGGCGAAAGCCUGACGGAGCAACGCCGCGUGAGUGAAGAAGGUCUUCGGAUCGUAAAACUCUGUUAUUAGGGAAGAACAAAUGUGUAAGUAACUAUGCACGUCUUGACGGUACCUAAUCAGAAAGCCACGGCUAACUACGUG
rnacentral:rRNA from 1 species